rnacentral:rRNA from 1 species
ACAAUGGAGAGUUUGAUCCUGGCUCAGGACGAACGCUGGCGGCGUGCUUAACACAUGCAAGUCGAACGUGAAGCCUUUCUUCGGAGAGGUGGAAAGUGGCGAACGGGUGAGUAACGCGUAGACAACCUGCCCUUC